rnacentral:rRNA from 1 species
UACGGAGGUUGCAAGCGUUAUCCGGAUUCACUGGGUUUAAAGGGUGCGUAGGUGGGUCUGUAAGUCAGUGGUGAAAUCUCCGUGCUUAACAUGGAAACUGCCAUUGAUACUAUAGGUCUUGAAUUUUCUGGAGGUAAGCGGAAUAUGUCAUGUAGCGGUGAAAUGCUUAGAUAUGACAUAGAACACCAAUUGCGAAGGCAGCUUACUACAGGAACAUUGACACUGAGGCACGAAAGCGUGGGGAUCAAACAGG